ACUCCAUAAAUACAUACACGUACUAUGUACCCACGAAAUUUAAAAACUAAAAUUUUUUUAAAAAAAGAGUUGAUGUUUAUUCCACUGCAGGGUUCCAAGAACAGAGGAGCCUGCCCUGCUUCCUGGCAUGGAGGCCAAGACACAGCAUGUGGUGGAAGCAGCGCUCCUGUGAUAACAGAGUUAAUCCACUCACCAGGGUGGGCCCUCAAGACCCAAAGCCUCACCGCUCCACACCGCCACAACGGCAACCAAGUUUCCAACACACGAACCUUCAGGGACCACAUUUAAACCCAAGCAGAGGUUGAUGUGAUUGAUAGGAAGGUGCCCAUAGACAAUCUUAGGAUGCAAGAUGACUUGAAUGAAAAGGUUACAGAAAUGUGUGAAGAUAACUGGGGAAAGGUUAUGAAUUAAUGGCUUCUUAUAUCUUCAGACCUCACCACUUAGAGGGCAAUAAACAAUGCCCCUCAUGUGGAAAGAGGAUUGCAUCAGGUACUUGAGGACAAUGAUAGCUGCCUAAAUCUACCACACCACAAUGCAGAAGACUGCACAAGGGAAGAACCUUGAGAACCACAUAAAACUCAGGCUCUGCUGCAAGCCUUUCUUGCAGGCAAAGGCAGUCUAAUAAACAUUUUUUAAAAAUCUUGCAUAGAAGAGAGAAGAAGGGAGUGAGCAGCAGAUCUAAAAUCUUUCUGAAACCACCACUAGGAUGAUAAAGUUAUCCUAACUGUGAAAAUACGGAAAAAAAGUGCAUUACUGCAUCACAGUGCUGAUUACAGGGAAGAGACUUAUAAUACAUGUGCUUUGAAGUGGCAGUCUUCAAAAGGUACAGCUUCUGAGAGAAAAAGAUGAAAAACUAAGAGGGAGGCACUGCAGUGACUGGGUGGUAAAAAAUAAAAGAAGUGGAAGGAAAAGUUACAGUCUUACAAGGCAAAGGGUAACAUGAAAGUCAGAGGGUACAUAACCACUUCCUGCAUCAACAGAAAUCUCAUCCCUGAAAAAAUGUAGACUGUUGCUAUACAGACAGAGGAGGAUGACAAGCCAUUAAACUAGAAAUCUUGUAAACCACCACUCAUAUGCAAAACGAAUAGUAUUGAGAGGUGAAGCUAGCAGGGCUUCUUGGUCGAGUGUGGACUUGGAGAACUUUUCUGUCUAGCUAGAGGAUUGUAAACGCACCAAUCAGCACUCUGCAUCUAACUAAAGGAUUGUAAAUGCACCAAUCAGCACUCUGUAAAAUGGACCAAUCAGCACUCUGUAAAGUGGAAGAAUCAGUGCUCUGUAAAAUGCACCAAUCAGCAGGAUGUGGGUGGGGCCAAAUAAGGUUAUAAAAGCUGGCCACCGGAGCCUGCAGGAACAACCCAAUUGGGUCCUUUUCCAUCCUGUGGAAGCUUUCUUCUUUCACUCUUCACAAUAAAUCUUGCUGAUGCUCACUCUUUAUGAGCUGUAACACUCACCAGAGGGUCUGUGGCUUCAUUCCUGAAGUCAGUGAGACCACGAACCCACCAACCCACGGGGAGGAACAAACAACUCCAGAUGCACUGCCUUUAAGGGCUGUAACACUCACUGCAAAGGUCUGCGGCUUCACUCCUGAAGUAAAUGAAACCACGAACCCACUGGAAGGAAGAAACUCGGGACACAUCUGAACGUCUGAAGGAACAAACUCCGGGCACACCAUCUUUAAGAACUGUAACAGCUCACCACGAGGGUCCACGGCUUCGUUCUUGAAGUCAGCGAGACCAAGAACCCACCAGAAGGAACCAAUUCUGGACACAGGGUGAAAUGGAAUAAGUCUAUGCAAAGUUACCACAAAGACACAAAAAGUGAGAAUUAACACAUUUCAGCUGGAUGAAACUUCUCACCAGAAACAACCAUGAAGAAAAAUAAACAUGUAAGAAAUGAUUCAAAAUGAGUUAAAUAUACUAAAAUCUCAAAUCUGAAGAGCCACUUUGAAUUAGAAAUCUGAAAACUGAAAGCAAAAAUAGAAAAAGCAGAAAAAAAUGAACAGAGUUGAUUGAACUUAGCAAAGAAAUGAUAAAAAGAAGACAAAAUCAUCUCAGAGUGAAGAAGACCGAAAUGGAAGAUAAUAAAGUGAAUUGACGGAACGCAAGAAAAUAAUCUGCAAAUGAAUAUAAGUUAACAAACAUCACAAAGCACCAGCUCCUUUAAUUGAGAAAAGAAGAAAGCACGAUGUACAAAAUAAUGACAAGGGGGACUAACCACUGAAACGGUAUGCAUCUGAGGAGAUGGCGAAGACAUUUUUAACAUCUUUAUCAGGUGGAGGAGAGUGGAGGGGAGUAAGAUUAGAAGCAAGGAUACCAGUAGGAUGCAGUUACAGCAAUCCAGGUGGCUGUGCUACAAUUGUAAUAACAUCAGAUCUGUGCUGGGAGCAGUGGACAUCUCCGGAGGGAGCCACCUGAACAGAUGCUGGCUGUCUCGUGCCGAGGCCCCGCGCCAGAUCACAGAACUGUGAAGUGAUCCUGGGCAGAGUUGGGGGAAAUGAGGCUGUGAGGAGGAGUGACUUGCCCAAGGUCAACGGUAACAGAACAGAGCCUAGGACUCGGGCGCCCCGACACUCAGCACAGCGUUUUUCUUGCUCCGUGCUGUGUUCCAAAGGUA
rnacentral:lncRNA from 1 species